rnacentral:tRNA from 2 species
CCGUGGUUAGCUCAGUUGGUAGAGUUCUCCACUGGAAAUGGAGAGGUCUCGGGUUCAAUACCCAGACCAGGCA